GAGGAUACGUGCGUUGGAGUUUGGUUUGAUCUCCGGUUUGAUCGAUGGCUUGUCCGUGCCAUGCGCUGUGGACAGCUGGGGCUUGUACUCAGUGGGGGACGGGUAUUGACAGCAGUCGGAGAUUUUAGUGAACCAACAGUGAGGAACUCACUAUAUCACAUCUCAUGAAGAUAUAUUACUGUGACAUUGCAUUCCUUUUGGACUUGUGGCAACGGACAUAACCUUGUAUUCCUGACAGCACAUUGAAACCCGUGUACAGAGAGUAUAUUCAACAAAAUAAUUUUAAAAGAGGUUGAAAAUCCUUCAUAUAAACCGACAAGGGCCUGUGAUUGCAGAGCAGACAGAUCCUGCAAACUACAUCGUUCAUUGGGAGAUGGAAUACCGUUACGAGAUGGAGCCCUUGUCUAUCCGCUUUCUUCGGACCUUCAAAGAACUUCUGAAAUUUGUUCUCUUCAGUUACACAGUGCUGUUAGGUGCUUUGCUCUUAGCAGGCUGGACAACAUACUUAAUGGUUGCAAAAUAAAAAGGGGAACUUUGAGUUGCUUUAUUAGGCUAUAGAGUGGCUAUUAUAAAAUAAUUUGUGUUAUGUUGUUGUUAAAAUAGCCACACUGUACAGUGAAUGUGUCCAACAUGACCUGGGACAAAUAUGUUACCAAAUAAUAAAGCUAUAACGGCAUGUUCCCAAAUAGUAGCAGAACGUAUGUUGUGUGAUAUUGUGUAGAACAUUUGUUUAUCUAUUAUUUUUGUGUUAUUUUAGUUUCCCCCGUAGAAUGAAGAAAGUCCCCAUCACAGUUAAUCAAUGCACUGGUCCUUUUUAGCUUUGGUCAUGAUCAUGUUGUAAGCUUAUUUCUUGGCCAUGUUUCUAAGAGGAUGGAUUUAUGUGCAAAUUCAAAGUACUCAACAUUAAACAUUCGAAAUAGA
rnacentral:lncRNA from 1 species